GACUAUUUGGGUGAUGGGGACGAGGACUUGAGUGCCUAUCUGGAGGACGUCCACUCUGACAGUGUUGUACAUCACCAUCUGGGGCAGCGAGCCAGGCUCAUCAUCUAAAACGUAGUGAGAUCUGAGAAGAUAAACUGCCCCUUGCACUUCAGCCAAAGCCCAGCUAAAACCACAGAGGAGUUGGGGAGACAAGCAAGAGAAGCUUCCAUGUCAAGCCUGCAGACCAGCAUUGGAAUGCUGCUGAGAUCCAGCAGGAUCUUGAGCAUGGGAUGUGUCUGUUGGGAGUAGGGCUCAGAUGUGCGAGUGAUGGACAGCAUGCCUAAGGAGCUGGACGGGUCUGGAUUCUCCAUUCAGAGCACAGACAUGAGACACUCC